rnacentral:tRNA from 1 species
GCGAAAGUGGUGGAACUGGUAGACGCGCCAGGUUCAGGGUCUGGUGGGCAAUCGCCCGUGGGGGUUCGACUCCCCCCUUUCGCA